CAACAUACAACCCGGAUCUUUGCAGAACUACUUCUCUCACUAAGUCAAUUAUUUAUUCACCAAACAAUAACUGAGGACCCAGCUGUGCUUUGCGCAGAACUGGGAGUUGCAAAUACAUACGGCAAACGAGAAAAAGUCCCACUUGAAUGACUUCUUUUAUUGAAGAGGCUCUUCUGACUGGGGAAGACAGAAAUUCAGCCAACAACAACAACCAGGAGAAUGUCAGGUAGCGAAUAGUAAAUACUACAAUGAAAAGAAAGCAAGACAAGUACAAUCAAGAGUGAUGGGAGAUACUUGAAAUUGGAUGAUGAAGAAAGACCUCUCUGAGGAUGUGUUGUGAAUAACAAGAUGAGCCAGCCAUGCAAAAAAAAAAAAAAUCCAGGAAAAGAAGGGACCUGCCUGUGCAAAGACCCUAAGAUUCACUAGUUAACACAGGAUCUCUGGGCUUUCCUCACAAAGGCCUGAAUCACCCCCAGAAGCCUGGGAAAGGCAUGGUCAUACUCAAGGCGUCAACACCAACAACUGGAUCAUUGCCAUCCUUGCACAAAAGCCUCAGCGCCCUUGAACUACCAGCUCGACACAGCCCCUCCCAGAGAGCCCCACCUGGCCCUUGCUGAGAAAGUGUAAGAUUCCAUGACCUGAUGGUCAGGUGUGAAGACUUCACCUGGAAGUGUUUCUUAUGUAGAGUAGCCUUUAACUUGCAACCUGCAAUGAGAAGGUAAAACCUGGGGGAGUUUCCAGCUACUUUCCUCUGACUGUUUCAGCUAAGAACACCAGGAUAAGCUGCAAUGACUCAGCCCACGGAAAACCAGGGCCGCUGAAGUUUCCCAGGAAGUCGUGUUGCCGUAUACACGUCUUCAGCCAGCCGGGGCAGGAAGUCGCUGGCAGGACCCUGGGGUCCUCCCUGUGGGCGGAUGGGCCAGAAGAAUGAGCCCAGCUGCCCAGUGAGAGAGGCGAGGUCUGGAGGUGACCUCUCAUCUGUAGGAAACCUCAGGGGUGGACUUGGAGGAUGGGUCCUGGUCACAGUCUUUCCAACGUAACAGAGGCCAGUGAUGCAGCUUUUCUGAGCUUUGGGGUCCUCUCUGUAGAAUGGGGGGAAAUGUACCUAUUUUUAACAGGCUGACAUGAGAUUUAAAAAUUUAAGGUCUACACGAUGCUGAGCAGUCCCCACCCUGCGUAGGUGCUUGACAGCAGUAGCUGUUAUUAUGUGAGUGAGGAAGAGGAAGAAUUACGAGUGGAGCCCCGGCGUCUGGGGUGGCCACGAGCCCAGCCGAUUCCUCACCACUUCCCCUCAGAAAGAGGCUGUUUGCUGCGCCACCACCGCUGUUCCCGGGCAGAGCCGCACGUACCGUGCCCCCCUGACCAGCGGCUCCCAAAGUGUGUUUUCUACAGGCUGGUAUCUGCAGGAAGGACUGGGGGAGUUGUCCAGAACCCAUUGUUCUGCAGCCCUGGCGAGCCUAGAGUGCAUGACUCUGCAUCACUGUCUCAAGGGGGCCUUUCCUCCAGAGGUCAGGCUGGGUCUACGCUCUUACCCAGUGAGGGCCUGCCUUUGAGAAAUUCCUUCUGGACCCAAAGCAGGAGGGCUCAUGAGCGCCACAAUCUUGGCUGCGUCCCCUUUCUCUCCCUCCCA